rnacentral:rRNA from 1 species
GACGAACCUUGCUAACGUUAUUCGGAAUUACUGGGCUUAAAGGGUGCGUAGGCGGUGCAGAAAGUUGGGUGUGAAAGCCCUCGGCUCAACCGAGGAACUGCGCCCAAAACUGCUGCACUAGAGGAAGACAGAGGUACGCGGAACUUAGGGUGGAGCGGUGAAAUGCGUUGAUAUCCUAAGGAACACCGGUGGCGAAGGCGGAUCUCUGGGCCGUAACGUGGACGCUGAGGAGCGAAAAGCAUGGGGAGCGAACAGG